CAGCCAAGUCACUUGUCUUAAAUUUCACUACGUUGUGUGUGAGAACAGUAAGUCUGUUUUACUCUGAGCAGGUAUGCUGGGAGGCACACCAGAAGCCCAGGAGGAGCAGUAGGUGCAAUUACAUGGACAAGAUGAGAAGGGAAAGAGGACAGCUCAACAGUCUCAACUCUGGAGCCUCUCUCUGGAAGGCAAGGAAGACAUAUGUAAGGAUCUCAACCACUUCUGUAUUCUGUUUCUCCUACAUUUUCUCAAAUGCUUCCUGACUGACAAACAGUAUAGGAUGUUUCCAAAAAUCUGUUGUAGGAGACGAGGAAGUUCCGCCC
rnacentral:lncRNA from 1 species